GUCAAAAGCAGAAAUUUGUCAAAUCAAAUUUUUUUAAAUUUGAAGAUUUGAAGGAAUAAAUACCUACUGAAUUUGGAGAAGAAAAGAAUUAUUUACCUGAAAACGCAAGACGAAAUCCCACAGAUGAGAGUCGCGAUAUACAAAAGUGUUCUGAAAUGUUUUGAGAUAAUUAUAUAAUGCAGCACCUCAA